AUUGAACGCUAGCGGCAGGCCUAACACAUGCAAGUCGAACGCGUUGCAGACGGGUGAAAUAUAUCUGGAUAACUGCCUGAUGGAGGGGGAUCACUUCUGGAAACGGUAUCUAAUACCACAUACCCUCAUAUGUGCACAGAUGGGAUUAGCUUGUUGGUGGGGUAACGGCUCACCAAGGCGACGAUCUCUAGCUGGUCUGAGAGGAUGAACAGCCACACUGGAACUGAGACACGGGCCAGACUCCUACGGGAGGCAGCAGUGGGGAAUAUUGCACAAUGGGCGCAAGCCUGAUGCAGCCAUGCCGCGUGUAUGAAGAAGGCCUUCGGGUUGUAAAGUACUUUCAGUGGGGAGGCGUUACCGGCAGAAGAAGCACCGGCUAACUCCGUGCCAGCAGCCGCGGUAAUAC
rnacentral:rRNA from 1 species